rnacentral:rRNA from 1 species
UACAGAGACUGCAAGCGUUAUUCGGAUUCACUGGGCGUAAAGGGUGCGCAGGCGGCCAAGUGUGUUAGGCGUGAAAGCCCGGGGCUUAACCCCGGAAUUGCACCUAAAACUACAUGGCUAGAGCAUUGGAGAGGGUAGCAGAAUCCAUGGUGUAGCAGUGAAAUGCGUAGAUAUCAUGAGGAAUACCAGAGGCGAAGGCGGCUACCUGGACAAUUGCUGACGCUCAGGCACGAAAGCGUGGGGAGCAAAAGGG